rnacentral:rRNA from 1 species
UACGGAGGGUGCAAGCGUUGUUCGGAAUUAUUGGGCGUAAAGCGCACGUAGGCGGGCAGCUAAGUCCGAUGUGAAAUCCCUCGGCUCAACCGAGGAAGUGCAUUGGAUACUGACAGCCUUGAGUCCCGGAGAGGGUGGCGGAAUUCCCAGUGUAGAGGUGAAAUUCGUAGAUAUUGGGAGGAACACCAGUGGCGAAGGCGGCCACCUGGACGGUGACUGACGCUGAGGUGCGAAAGCGUGGGUAGCAAACAGG